GACGAAGGUGGCUAGCGUUGCUCGGUGUCACUGGGCUUAGAGCGUAUGUAGGCGGGAAAGUAAGCGCUUUGUGAAAUCCCCCAGCUUAACUGGGGAAUUGCUGGGCGUACUGCUUUUCUUGAGGCAAGUAGGGGUGCGUGGAACUCUUGGUGGAGCGGUGGAAUGCGUAGAUAUCAAGAGGAAUGCCGGUGGUGAAGACGAUGCACUAGGCUUGCACUGACGCUGAGAUACGAAAGCGUGGGGAGCGAACGGG
rnacentral:rRNA from 1 species